CCUACGGGUGGCAGCAGUCAGGAAUAUUGGGCAAUGGGCGAAAGCCUGACCCAGCAACGCCGCGUGAAGGAUGAAGGCCUUCGGGUCGUAAACUUCUGUCGAGAGGGAAGCGGUACCUCCAAAGGAAGCACCGGCUAACUCCGUGCCAGCAGCCGCGGUAAUACGGAGGGUGCAAGCGUUGUUCGGAUUCAUUGGGCGUAAAGCGAGUGUAGGCGGUUUGACAAGUCGGAUGUGAAAUCCCGGGGCCCAACCCCGGAACUGCAUCCGAUACUGUCUGGCUAGAGUCCCGGAGAGGGUGGCGGAAUUCCCGGUGUAGGGGUGAAAUCCGUAGAUAUCGGGAGGAACACCAGUGGCGAAGGCGGCCACCUGGACGGUACUGACGCUGAGACUCGAAAGCGUGGGUAGCAAACAGGAUUAGAUACCCUUGUAGUC
rnacentral:rRNA from 1 species